CACAGGCCCACCCUGCUGAGAAGGCCCUCCCACCACAGCCCCACACAGGGGAUUCUCCUCCUGAUUUUCCGGAGGGCUUCACACACCUGCUGAGCUCUCCCUUUACAGGGAAUAUUUGUCUUCCAACAUUUUGAAGAGCUACAGCUCCAGAGUGACAAUGGAAGAAGUUCUGUGAGACAGUGGCCCUCCCCCUCUGCUGGAUGGGGCCUGCUCUGGCCUGACAAUUCGUCAUGGGUCCGGGUCCCCUUGGCAGGGGUUCCCCUGCAAGGACCUCAGCAGACGAGACAGCUCGAGUUCUUUAUUUUGGCUUGGAUGACCCUGUCCUGUGAAGCAGUGCCAUCUUAAAUAUCAAACUACAUCUUAGAUGUUAAACUACAGAAUUAAGAUGCAAUGUGUAUGUGUACCAACUCCCCACAAUGAACAUAUUCAUUAUGAAUCAUAAA
ensembl:lncRNA